GUGUGAGUGAGAGCGGUGGUGGGGGGUGCGAGUGGCGCGGAGUUUUGAAUUGUUUGCUGUCCCUUUUUCACGGUUUUCCCUGGUUUCUCCGUCUGUUCUAUGUGCAUGAUCAGAACAGAACAAUCACCUCUGGCCUGAGGGUGCACCGCGUGGACCACCUCUUCUGCUGCAGUUUUUCCCCAGCUUAACUUCCUCCCUGACCACAUGGCUCAAGGGAAGUUCAGGUAUACGGCGUGUGGUUGGUUCCCUUCGGCAUGCGCCAGGAGAAGGGAACCAAUGGCGGGCCCUCCGUCUGUCCUGCGGUGUAUUAAGAGACAACCUGACCUGGGUCGGCGUGGUGCCGCGAGGGUCGCCGUGGGAGACGUCAGGAGGCCUGGGAUGACAGAGAAGAGACUGGCACUGGGACUUCAGGAAAGAAGUUGGCUGUGUGUGUGUGGG
ensembl:lncRNA